rnacentral:lncRNA from 1 species
AAUGCUACCUGUCAGUUAAGAACUCUCUGCUGAAUAGCAAUACCAUGAAAGCCGGUGUUUCUGGCCUCUGCUGCAGCACUCUGCGCUCAGACUGGCUCCGGGCUGGAUCCUGCUGCAGAGCCACCCAGGAGAUGGUGCUCUUGAACCAGUGAUCGGCACAGUGCUGACCCAGAGCAUGCUGAUACUACGCCCUUGCCUGAAAUGACGCUGGUGCUUGUAGGAGGUGUUUUUCCCUGGACUGCGAGGCUGGUGAGAUGCUGAAGCUGAGCACGGAGCAGCUUUGCGGCUGAUUGCCCUGAUUGGAGCCUGGGACACGCUGUGUCCAAGCCAAGUGCCUGCCGGGUGCCAGCUCCAUUGCUGCCAGGGCUGGGAGCAGCACGACUGUGUGGGGCUCCCUGUGGCCUCCUUUCUGGGACAGCCUUUUCCCCCACUGACACAUGUCUCAGAGUCUGGAUAGUUCUUAGAUCUUCUGAAAACAUGUUUACCCUGUUCUGAUAUACAAAACUGUUCCAGCAAGUCCUGGAGACUUUUGGGGACUUACUUGACUUUGAACUCAGAUCCUGGAGGAUGGAGAUAUAGAACGGUAAUUGGUUUAUCAGACUUGAUUUUCUCCACCUAUUAGUUGACUUGCAGCUCAGUGAUUCAUUCAGUUACCUUUAGAUUGGCUAAAGAGAUUGAAGAGCCCUUACAUUCACUCAUAUUUUAAAUGUCUCCCUGUAUUCCUUUACAACAGACAAUUGAAUGAUAAUGGCUUUGAGCCCAAAGUAGUAUUUGCUUUACCACAUUAAAAUGUAGCUGAAACCAUCUGAAAUAUUGAGUAGUUGUUAAGAAAAUGAUCUACUGUUUUUCAAAAAAUGCUGCUGCUUUGAGUGAUAUGCCCCAUUGCAGCUAAAUGAAUGUACUACUUUUAUUAUGAUAAAACAAGCCUGUGC